GGCGGGGCUGGCGAGGAAGUGGUGGCGCUGCCCGGGGCGGGGAUGGGGACUGCGCCGUCCCCGGCCCGGUCACCACCGGCCUGCACUCCGGGCCCGGGCUUGGCUCUUCCAUCGGCUUAACCAUCACUUGGAGGUGGCAGAUAUGUGAUGGAGACACUAUGUUGGCGACGUCAGGGUUAACUAGGAGUGAAUUGGGGGCGCGAUGUUGUAAGGACGGGAUUCCUGCCUCCCGCCCCAUUAUCCUUACGCCCUAUUCACUGCGGUCUCAGAUUCUGGGAGGUCUCGGGAGGCCCAGAAAUGGGAGAAGUCAGAUUGCGGGGUCGUGGGCCCCAAAGCCUAAAUCUUGCCCUUCCUACACCCAGAGCUAAGUGACCAUGCCCAGGCUUCAUUUGACCACAUGGACAAAGGAAAGCGCCCCCAAGAGAGACCAUCUCCCGAAGCAGAGGCUCUGGCUGUAAAUGGUGCUAGUGGCCGGCCUGGCAGGGGCCAGCUCUCCCCAGAGGCUCAGGAGCUUCUCCAGGAGGCAUCUCGCAGUCAGUCCCCAGCCCACACCAAGGCUGUGCCCUUCCACUCCUCUUGCUUUCCUCUUCCCACCACCCACUCACUCACUAGUCUUUGCCCUCUUCCUUCCUCUGGGAAACGGAACAGGCUCCUUUCCAUUAGUGAGAGCUGCAACUAAUGCAGUCAUCUUCAGAAAGCAAAGACAUAACCCCGUGCCCAGGAUCCGAACUGCGACCAUCACCCAGCAAUGACUGCUCCCCUUAAACACCGAGAAGGGAAUUCACUUGAUUCUAAUUAGUCAAGAUCCUGCCAAGAUUUCCUUGUAAAUAAAACUGUCUGCAUGGGGUGUGAUUUUGAAAACAGCCUUCAGGGGACAGAAGAGAGGCUGAUUCCUUUGUGAAGAGGAGCCCAGAAGGACAAAUGACCGCUGGGGCCCUGGGGUCUGUGUCGCUGCCUCCCGCAUCCCAGGCUGUCAUUUGCAUGACCGGUAUGGGUGUUGGCUCUGUUAUACUUAGAUCUCUGGGACUAGAGAAGUGGGCCAGGAAGUCUGGUUCCAGGGGAACUGGAAGGAGAAGGGCACAGAAAAGGGUUGGCCACUCUGCUGGGAUGCCCAGCCACCCUGGACAGUGUUCUGAUACCAGCUACCCAGGGAGCUGCCUCUUCAUCAGCCCAGGGACAGCUCUUAUCAACAUAUCCAACUCUGUCAUCCCUUCGUGGGGAAGGGAGCUUAGCAGGCUCAGUUCUGUUCCUGAACAUGUAUUAAGCUCCUACUAAGUACCAAUGACAGAGCUUUGAGAAUACAGAGGUGGAUAAGAACCAGACCCUGCCCUCCAGAAAUGGAUAAUUGGGGGUGACAGUCACAUUCAACACAAGG
rnacentral:lncRNA from 10 species